GGGAAGAAGGGCUGGGGUGAGUAGAGGACACAGCCCGGGGGCUGUGACCUGGAGUGGCCCAGUGCAUUGCCUGAGCAACUGGGGCUGUGCUCUGGAGAGGGAGGUGGGGCAGGUGACAGGAGAUCAGGGUGGAGGAGCCUCGCUAAUGCUCCUUGACCUUGUGCACAGUGACCAGAAUGGGUGAAUUCCAGGGACAGAAGUUUGGUUUAUCAUUAAGAAAUCUAUAAACAUCAUUACCAUAUGAACAGAUCAAAAGGAAACAUGAACUGGUGUGGUGGGGCACACCUGUAAGCCCAACAUUCGGGAGGCUGAGGCAGGAGGAUGGCUGCAGUUUCUCAGCCUGGGCUACAUAGUGAGUUCAAGACCAGCCUGAAUCGCAUGACAAGACCCUGUCUCAAAAAAUUAAAAUUUUUUUUAAAAAGGAAAAAUGAUAUGAUCACUGCAACAGAUGUAGUAAAAGUAUUUUAGGAAAUUCAGCUUCUGUUCAUGAUGUUCAGCUGGGGAACUUCCUGCAUCUGAUUAAAGUGAGUGUGGCUGUAUCUGACAGCAAGUAUCAUGCUCCCUUAAAAUCAAGACCAAGGCAGUUCUGACUGUCCUGUCAUUACUUCUAUUUCUGUGGCCUGGGAGGCCCCAGCCAGAGCAAUGUGGCAGGAGACGCAAUUGAUAAGGACUGAAUGGAAAAUUGAUAGAAAACCCAAACAAACCUUUCCCCGUGGUCAGGAUUUCCAAAGGUCAAGCUGUUGGUAUGGCUGGCUUGCUGCCCUACCCCAAAAUGCAGUGCACUGAAAAAGUACUCUGUGGGAGGCCCUGGCUUGGGGAGAAUAAAGCAGCUAGGAGGCUAGCCUGGGUGAGGAGUCGAGGGCACAGGGUGAGAAACUGGGACCUGGGGCCUCAGGCUACCCGGCAGGGAGACUGGGAGCCUGCACAUGCCUGGGCGGGGUCUCAGGCUGGAGGUGGGGUCCGGCUCUGCCCACUCUGCCCCUUCUCUGCUUUCUGGUCCUGCUGACCCUGUCAGCCAGGCGCACACUGUGUCUGUCUGCCCUUUCCUGUGAGAGGUGAUUCCCCUUUCUUUUUCCUUCAUCCAGGGCUGGGCACUCGGAGGUGUGAGGAAGUGCUCUCGCACACUUUCUUUCUCUGUGUCUUUAAAAUGGGCUCCCUGUGUUGCCCAGGCUGGCCUGGAAAUCAGUGGCCUGCAGCAAUACUCCUGCCUCAGCCUCCUGCGUAGCUGGGACUACAGUAUCUUUCUGAGGAUUUUUGCAUCUGUGUUCAUUAAAGAGAUUGGCCUGUCAUUCGUUCUCUCUUUUGGGCGGGUCCUUGUGAUCCGAAUCCAUCAUGAGAAGAAAAAUAUCUUUUGGAACCAAGCCCCGGCCAGUGGGAUUAUAAGACUUGAGGAGCCCAGAAAGUCACUAAACACCUGCUGCUCUUUCCUUCCUUGGACAACUGCUCCCCCCUCAGCCCAAGCCCAGAGUCAGCUAGAGCCCCUCUUGCCCCUUCCCUGCUGCCCCACUAAAGCUUUGCCUGUCUAGGA